CCCCUAGAUGUUCUGGGCCGCACGCGCGCUACACUGAACAGUUCAACAAGUCUUAACCUUGGCCGAUAGGUCUGGGUAAUCUUUGAACGCUGUUCGUGAUUGGGAUAGACCUUUGCAAUUAUGGGUCUUCAACGAGGAAUUCCUAGUAAACGCAAGUCAUCAGCUCGCAUUGAUUACGUCCCUGCCCUUUGUACACACCGCCCGUCGCACCUACCGAUUGAAUGGUCCGGUGAAAUCUCGGGACGGCGGCUUGGUCGCUUGCGUCCGACUGCUGAAACUUGAUUAAACCAUAUCAUUUAGAGGAAGGUGAANUCGUAACA
rnacentral:rRNA from 1 species